GCAAAGGGCGGUUGAUGUGGGCGGGGCUGGCUGGCGGCGGCGGGAGAGGCAGGGCCGAGGGCGGGUGGGCGGGCAGACGGGUGAUCGUCGCUGUCAGCGGAGGGAAGGAGUCGCGGAGCGAGCGCACAGGCAGAGCAAACCUCCAGGUUUUUUUCCUCUCCCACACCCUUUCCCUCCGCUGUCAGUGUUGUGAAGAAACAAGCGAGGGAUGGAUUCCUCCAACGAAGAGAGAAGGGUCUGUAAAGAAGAGGAAUGCCUUUGGGUGUCCAAACCAAAGAUGUCAAGUUUAGAGUAGUUAUGGAAAGGGACAAGGAACAAGCAAAGGUGAAGAUAUUCAACUGGAAGGCUAAUUUCAGUGAGCUGAAAAGGGAUCUGGCCCAGGUGGAUUGGAAACGCAGAUUGGCAGGCCUCCUGCAAAGUGACCCAGUUGCUGAAGUAGGAGAAGAUGCAGCUGCAACUGCUGAUCUAGGAGGUGGAAUGACGGAUGAAGAUAGAGAAGAACUGACCAAUGAACUUGCUAAGGUGGAGGAUGAAAUACAAACACUUUCUCAAGUCCUCGCAGCAAAAGAGAAACAUGUUGCUGAGUUAAAGAAGAAGCUAGGAUUGACUCCACUACAUGAACUUAAAAAUAAUUUGUCAAAAAGUUGGUUAGAUGUACAAUCCUCUGUGGCAUUCAAGAAGACAUCGGAAACCCUUGCUCAGGCUAGUCAGAAGGCGUCCUCUGCAUUUAAUAAUUUUGGUUCUGCCAUUACCAAAAAGUUUGAAGAUGUUCGGUCUGUACUGGAGGAAGGUGUCUCGUCUAGAUUGAGAGGGUUGCCUUUCCUCCCACAACCAUCCCCUCUUAAAUACUACUGAAAAAGUGACCUGCGGAAGCUGCUGGAAUGAAGAGCAAAGAAAUUCACCGACUUUCAAAUCCUUCGAAGAUAGAGUUGAAAACAUAAAAUCUAAGGUCGCAGGCAACAAGGAAGGUGGUGGUGAUUUUGGGAACGUUCUAAACUCUGCAGCAAAUGCAACUGCCAGUGAGACCAUUACAGAAGAGGUUUCAGAUGUUCAAGAAGCUCAUUAAUGUGGUUUUAAGUCUCCUUUUUGACAUGUUACAAAUCAAGAACAUUAACAUAAAUAACUGCGUUCUUCCAUCCAGUUGUGCCCUUGUCACACAACAUUGUGUCUUGUAUUUAACAGCUCAAGGUCUGCCUGGCCCUAGAUUACUGUAAUAAAAAAUCAUCACUUGUAUCGGUUUGGUCCUAAUAGCAAAAAUUAAUUUGUUUUGGAAUACUUUUCGGUCUGAUUCUUCAGGCUUGAAUGACACUUCAAAAGUCGUACCAUAUUUAAUACCGCAGGGAAACUAUCGUGAAGUAUGGAAUAUUAAAUUGCAGUUUUUUUCUCAUGUUGAUUAUUUUGAAAUGCUCUAAAUUUGAUAACCAGCAGACCCACAUUAUGCCUCAGCCUAAAAAUGAUAGCUUGUGUUUUAAUUUUAACUGUCUAUUAAAGACAUGUGGAAGAUCUUUCUUCUGGGAGGUGUAACGUGUUCCAGCUCAUUUGCAGGGAAAUAUCAUAAACUGAUCUGAAGCUACUUGUGUUUCUCUUCAGACUUUGAAUUCUACAGUUUUUUUUGGCUAUUGUAAAUCUUAUUCAGCUAGUUUCACGUUUAAUACAUGGCAAAGUAUUUUGUAGAAGGGAAGUGAUUGCAAAAUGUAUGUUUCUCAUUUUAGUGCAUGUUGACAGUUAGCAGCCGUUAAGAUUCAGAUUUUUGGGUCUGUAAGUUGUAGACCAAAUGAAUGAAUGACAUUGAUUAAAAGAUGUCACGUUUCUGCAUAUUUGAAAAUAUUUGAGGUUCAUGAGUUCAGUGUUAAAAUUGUAAAAUGGUAAUUUUUUUCAAGAUAGGUGAAAUAUGGUACAGUCACAGAAAUAUCUUGAUGCGCUCUGUAACCAAAAAAUCACUUAAUAAAGGUUGAUGGUAAAGUGUUUUAAAGUGAACCUUUCUGUCUAGAAUUAAACAAGA